AUUAUGGAGAGUUUGAUCCUGGCUCAGGACGAACGCUGGCGGCGUGCCUAAUACAUGCAAGUCGAGCGGAGUAUUUCCUUCGGGGAAUGCUU
rnacentral:rRNA from 1 species